CUACAGACACCAGGAGCAGCGCAUUCUGAAGGGACUGAAACAGAGUGGAAGAGCGGGAGAACCGAGGAAGGAGGGAAGAAUGGAAUUGUCCAGACUAUCGGUGAUGCUGGCGUUAUACUGCUCACCCCUGAUGGUGCGCGGUGCCGCAGAGCCGUGCAAAGGGACGCAGUGCCACGGCGGCGAAACCGGCGACCCGAGGCCGUGCGUCGGGGAGCAUUGCCCCGGGGGUCGCUCCUCCAGACCCCGGAGGCAUCUACACUACAACCCCGCAAACACGGGACGCGCGGCAGCACACGCAGUCGCCAGUUCGCAGCACGCCUUCGUGAGCUCCCCCAGAGCCGCUGUGGCGGAGGGUUUCGCGGCUAUACAGCCCCCUCGUGGACGGGACGGCGGGAGCGCGCGGACUAGAGCGGGGGCGGAAGCGUUCCCGUCGGGGUGCCACGAUGGGAGCUGCGGUCCUCUUCCUCCUGCUUCUCCACAACGACACCUUUACACCGUGAACGAGACGCGGGACUGUCGGGGGGAUCGAGUGCAAACUGCCGCUCCGGAUCCGCCUCCAGCCGCGACCCAAGCCCUGCGUUGGGGACGCGUGCCUGGCCGGCUCCGAGGAGGGCCAGCCGGUCCACCUGAGAGACAGAGCCGCGCAGUUCAUGGGAGAGAUGCCUGAGUUUGGAUAUCCUUCCUCAGAGCUUGGGGGUGCCCCACUGGGAGUCCAGCUCACAUGUGACAUCAAACCAGGGGAGAACGAGGUUCCAUCCGAAGAUGCCCUCAUCCUCCACCUGCAGCUGUCCAAGGGUCAGGAGAGUCUGGUGGAGGCCCUGCGAGCACAGCAGGUGGUGAUCAGGGACCUGCAGCAGAAGCUGGUGGACCAGCAGGAGGCGCUGCUCUCCCAGCAGCGGGACAUCCUGGCCGAGCAGCGGCGCAUGUACGAGCAGAUGGACACGGUGAAGGCCCAGUACGGCAUGCUCUCCGACACCGUCAAGCAGGUGUCCUUCCAGGGCCUGCAGGGGGAGCUGCAGAGCUACUUCCAGAGCCACCUAGCAGGGCUGCAGAGCCAGGCGCGCAGCCAGCUGCAGAAGUCCUACGCCGUGCACAAGAUGGACGCGGACUCCAAGGUGGUGGAAGUGAUGGACGUCCUGGGCGAGGCCCACUUCCCCCAGCCGCUGUUUGGCUGCACGACGUCCUGCAGCGGCGAGGAGUUCUGUGACUUCCAGAAGGAGCCCCCCCGCUGUGAGAGGUGCACCAUGUGUCCACCGGGCUUUUUCCUCAUCUCCCAGUGUUCACCCAACACUGACCGCAUGUGCCAGGACCGAGAUGAAUGCCUGGAGUUACCAAGCAUCUGUGGGGAACGGGUGAAGUGUCUCAACACCCCAGGAGGCUUCCGGUGCCUGGGUAUCUCCGAGCGCGAGGCGGAGACGGGCGUGUGUGGCCUUGAAUACUUCUACAACCAGGAGCUCCAGGAGUGCCAGGCCUGCUUCGACUGUGAUGGGCAGCAGGCUUCGGCGCCCUGCACCGCCGUCAGUGAUACCGUCUGCACGGGGCCCCUGCUGUCCACCGAGCCGGUCCGUCUGUCCCAGGCCUGGGGGGGCAACGUCCAGGUUCCCCCAGCCAGGUCCUUCUCCCGCUCCUCCUCCUACUUUGGCUCCAUCUUCCCGGGCCUGCAGCUCAACAUCCUCGGCAGCGGAGACCCCGGCGGGCUGCUCUCCAUGCAGGGUGGCCGGCUCAGUUUGCAGCAGCACGGCCUCCUAUGGCUGGACCACAACUUUGCCCUGAAGCACAGCUGCCGCAACUUCCUGCAGCUCGGCAUGCGGCUCAACGGCAGCCAGGAGGAGGAGAGCGGCCGGUGGGACCUGAGCGGCGUUCGCAUCGAGCAGCCCGACGGGAAGUACUUCCAGAGCGUGAGCGUGAGCGGCGCGGUGGAGGUGGAGCCCAACCACACCCUGAGCCUGGUGCUGAAGAGCCCCAACCAGCACUGCAACCAGACCAAGGACCUGCACGCCUACGACCUCCACGGACACCCCUUCAGCCUCUUUUGGCUGUCGCACGACACCGGCUCCGUGGCUAUGACGGCGCAGACCACCGUGUCGGCGCACUACCAGACCAGCUACCGGCCGACGUUCCGCACCGUGUCCGUCUCGGACGCCUACAUGGUGGGCCUGACCCACGACAGCCGGGGCGUGCGCUUCACGGAGAGCGGCGUGGUCAAGUUCGUCCUGCAGCAGGCGCUGUACGCCGUGGGCCACACGUGCGUCCGCGAGGGCUUCUCCGUGGUGGCCUACACCAACCACAACGGCAGCGCCCAGGAGGUGAUGCGGGCGUUCAAGGCGGGCGUCAACUACCGCGACACGUCCGUCACGAUGUCGGGCGCGGUGCGCGUGACGCCGAGGACACGUUGACCUUCGAGGUGAGCACGCCGGCGCAGUGCAACGUGCGCUACUUUGGCGACAGCAGCGGCAUCAGCGUGCUGAGCCUGGUGUGGAUCCCGGCAGCCGUGUCGUCGGCGCUCACUGCCACCGUGUCCCCGACGGGCCUGCCUUCCGGCGCCGUGCGGAACAAACCGCUCUUCUUCCAGCAGGUCAGCCCCGACAGCCGGCAGAUCCACCUGUCCACCGCCGGGGAACCCAACGCCCGGAAGAACUUUGUGUUCCCGCGAGCAAGGCACGGCCAACGUGGCGCUCAACCUGAAGCUCAUCCACUCCUGUAACGUGGUCAAGCUCUCUCUGCACCGGGUGGGCGGUGGUGGGAGUGGAGGUGGAGGUAGCAGUCAGGCCAAGGCGGGUCCUGUGGCCCAGCAGGUGUCCGGACACAUGCCUGAAGGGAGCGAGUGGGCCAGCUUAGGGCUGAGGGCCUCUUUCGAGGUCCAGAACGGCACAGCCAUCUACGUCACCUUGGACUGCGUCCGCGGGCGCGUGAACCAGAUCACUAACCAGGGCGGGACCAACAUUUCCAUUCUCUGGGUCACCCUGUGAUCUGUGAUCAGUGAUCCCGGAUCCGUGACCAGUGAUCCAAAAUAUGGAUGUCUUUCCCUGAACCUGGAUGAAAUAUCAUGCAUGGAUUUGGUCUUGAUUUGCAGAGCAGAUUCAAAAAAUACCAAAGUCAAGCAGCUGUUUCUAUUCCUCAGAAAUUAUUUUGCAUAAAUAUGAUAUAUCAGUGUUUUGUGAUUUUAUCUAUUAUUUUGUGUAGCAUAUAUAUGUAUAUAUAUAUAUUAUCAGGAAGUACUUCCUUGCUAGAAAGUACUUUGGCUGGUUGAGAAGUGACCAAUCCGACGUUAAGUAUGUUGCAAACUGUGUGUGUGUGUGUGUGUGUGUGUGUGUGUGUGUGUGUGUGUGUGUGUGUGUGUGUGUGUGUGUGUGUGUGUGUGUGUGUGUGUGUGUGUGUGUGUGUGUGUGUGUGUGUGUGUUGUGUGUGUGUGUGUACAUGUGUCUUUUCCUGCAUGUAUGAUUCAUUCCAUCUGAUAUAACAUAUUUCUAUGCCUGCACAUACUUUAAAUAAACAUGUAUUGAAUACUUAUGUUAUUAAGCCUUACAGAGCUUCCAAUAAAAUCUUACAUAGAACUGUUAUAGACAGAGAUUAUGUAGUAGAGCAGGAUUCCAUUGGAUUUCUGCUUAAUAACUUGUUUGUUAUUUUUCUAACUUAUUUGACAUUUUGAGUAAAGGGCUUUUCCUAAAAUAUCAUGAUAUGUUGCUUGUCUUCACCAAACAUGAUGUAAGUUUUCUCCAACACAUACAUUUAAUACAUCAUAUUGUAUACUGGAGGACACAAUAAAGUGCAGAACAUUCAAUAAUACACUGAUGGAAUUUCAAAAGGGCUUUUUGGUUGUUGUCUACAUUCACAAACGCUAGGCUGUUAGCCAUCAGAAAGACUGGCCAAGCAUGUCCUCAUUAACACACCCGCACACUGAGUGUGUGUGUGUUUGUCCUGUCGGCCAGAGAAUUAGAGAUAAUGAAGCGUUUCAGGGUCUCGGCUGGGAAGUGGUCGGCUAUAUUUUGUCAACCUUCAUCAGCCUGUCAUAUGUAUUGCUUUUCGUUUUGCUUUUGGGAGCUUGGAGAUUGCUUUAAUUCCCGUAUAACAAUGUGUGUAUUGUAAAUUAAUAUUAUCAUUGACAAAAAAUGUUGAUUGCAUUUUUUUAAGCUCGUAAAGUGUCCAACUCUUGAAUGUAAAAGGGUUCACAUUCAGUGGGUACAUCUUAGUGGACAAAGCCAAAAGACAUCAGAAAGAGAUAGCUAGUUCAUAGAUAGAUGGUUGGAUGGAUGGUAGACAGUUGAAUGACUGUCGGCUGAAGGAAACGAUGGAUGGAAGAUGGACAGACGAAGGGAUUGGUCUUUCGUCUUUCGUCUCAAAGCACAAUGGUUCACUCUGGUGAAACAAAUAAUGAUCUGCAUCUGUCUUUGUUGAAGGCACGACAUAUGACUCAUCAUCGGGCACUUAUCA
ensembl:lncRNA